rnacentral:sRNA from 1 species
AGCCGCAUUGAUGCGAUCGGGAAACUCAUCAAUUUUAAAAGAAAUACCGAGACAAGCUCCAUAUUCCAAUGGCGGGCCACGCCCGAAAGGGUAACUUAGAGUCGGUGGAUUACAAAGGGAUUGGGCUCUCAAAUCAUGUCGUUCGGAGUUUCAUCUUCAUCUAAUAUUCAGUGCGGCUUCCU